GCGCCCGUAGCUCAACUGGAUAGAGCAGCGGCCUUCUAAGCCGCAGGUUGUGAGUUCGAUUCUCGCCGGGCGCGCCA
rnacentral:tRNA from 1 species